AACAAGUUUAUAAGUAAGUCUUCUAAAUUUACUCUAGGUUAAAACCUGCUUGUU
rnacentral:tRNA from 1 species